rnacentral:rRNA from 1 species
GAUGAACGCUAGCUACAGGCUUAACACAUGCAAGUCGAGGGGAAACGUCAUUGCGUGCUUGCACUCUUUGGACGUCGACCGGCGCCCGGGUGAGUAACGCGUAUCCAACCUUCCCAUUACUGUGGGAUAACCUGCCGAAAGCCAAACUAAUACCGCAUCGUCUUCGAUUUCGGCAUCAGAUUUGAAGUAAAGAUGUAUCGGUAAUGGAUGGGGAUGCAUUUGAUGAGCUAGUUGGCGAGGUAACGGCCCACCAAGGCGACGAUAGAGAGGGGUUUGGCGAGGGAUGUCCCCCACACUGGUAAUGAGAUACGGACGAGACGCCUACGGGAGGCAGCAGUGAGGAAGAGUGGACAAUGGUCGGAAGACUGAUCCAGCCAUGCCGCGGGCAGGAUGAAGGUCCUAUGGAUUGUAAACUGCUUUUGUAAGGGAAGAAUAAGAGCUACGUGUAGUUUUAUGACGGUACCUUACGAAUAAGCAUCGGCUAACUCCGUG